GAUGAACGCUGGCGGCGUGCCUAAUACAUGCAAGUCGAGCGAACAGACGAGGAGCUUGCUCCUCUGACGUUAGCGGCGGACGGGUGAGUAACACGUGGAUAACCUACCUAUAAGUCUGGGAUAACUUCGGGAAACCGGAGCUAAUACCGGAUAAUAUAUUGAACCGCAUGGUUCAAUAGUGAAAGACGGCUUUGCUGGCACUUCUAGAUGGAUCCGCGCCGCAUUAGCUAGUUGGUAAGGUAACGGCUUACCAAGGCGACGAUGCGUAGCCGACCUGAGAGGGUGAUCGGCCACACUGGAACUGAGACACGGUCCAGACUCCUACGGGAGGCAGCAGUAGGGAAUCUUCCGCAAUGGGCGAAAGCCUGACGGAGCAACGCCGCGUGAGUGAUGAAGGUCUUCGGAUCGUAAAACUCUGUUAUUAGGGAAGAACAAAUGUGUAAGUAACUAUGCACGUCUUGACGGUACCUAAUCAGAAAGCCACGGCUAACUACGUG
rnacentral:rRNA from 1 species